rnacentral:tRNA from 2 species
GGGCGGGUAGUCUAGCGGUCAUGACGCCACACCAAAACUGGGCGACGCUUACGACGUGGAGGACCCAGGUUCAAAUCCUGGCCCGCCCACCA